UUUAUAUCACACUGAAUCAAGUUUAUUUUUGGUUUGGGAGGAUAAACGAAGCUUUCAAUGAGCUUAAAACGCAACCCUCUAGCAUUUUGAUAGGCAACUAAGAAGAAAUUUUUGUUUUUUGACUGGGUGGAAAAGAGUGGAAAAGAGGGAUGGAGCUGAUUACUAGGGAGCUCCAGAGCUCCGGCCUAAUUUCAGUGAGUUGAUGGACAGAAUAUGCUAAUCCAGUCCAGGGCUCAACACAGGGACCCCUGCAUCUAAAGUGUCGAGGUCUCAGACCAGGCCACACUUUCUUUUAAUUUCUGCAGCUUUUAUGCAGUUGGGAAAUUAGGAAAUUAGCUACUCGAGAAUCGGUUUGUUACUUGACAUCAAGAACAAUUCAAGAAAGAAAUCAAGUCGUUGGAGUUUGAAACAGGUCUACACAAAUAUGUAUUUAGAAUUGUAUAAGUAUGCACUUGUCUAAAAUCUUCAUAACUUCUUUCCAAAAUUUACUACAUUUUACGUUUAUUUUUAGGAAAACUCCUGCCUUACUGAUGAAAUCUGCCAUCUUCAGUCUGAACUAGCUGCUACACGAUCACAAAGGAUUUAUCUAAUUAAGCGACUAAUGUUUUACGAAGGUUUAGAAAAGGCCAAUAUAGUACGCAACUGCGUUAUAAAUGGAAAACCCGAAUCUAAUGAGAAUUUCAUACGAGCUUUGAGCAAGAAUAAACAAAGCAUUUUAUAUCCCAGUGAAAUUGAAGAGGAUUCUCAAAAUGGUUCUACAUCAAAAAUCAAAAAAUCUUUUCCACUUCACUUAAAUAAUUUAUUACUACAUUCACUAGGCGAUAUAUCGGGGAGUUCAAAUUUCCAUAAUGAGAGUUGGAUAUAUCCUGUUGGUUAUGUGGCAACCCGAAUUUACGCCCAUCCAAAAGAUCCAUCAAAAAAGUGUGUAUUUACUUGUAAAAUUUUAAAUAACGCGGGAGUACCUCAAUUUCAAAUAAUACCUGAUAACGAUUUGGAUGGUGUAUUUUUUGGAGAAACCCCAAAUAUGUGUCAUGCAGAACUAUUAAAUACCAUUCAGAGGUAUUCUAAUAAAAGUGUCAAAAUACCAUUUAACGCGCAGGGAGAAUCAUUUUUUGGCUUGUCGAAUCCAAAAAUUCAAUCCCUGUUAAGGCUAGACCCUGGAUUUCAACGAUGCUUUAAUUUUAAAGGAUAUAAUGUCCAGAAUCAAAAAUCUUUAAAUAAUCCAGGAUUAUCAUUUGAGACUCUUCAAACAUUUUUGACUUGAAACCAAUUACAGUUAUAAUUUAGACACAAUGAAUAAAC
rnacentral:lncRNA from 1 species